AACGCGAAGAACCUUACCCAGGCUUGACAUGCAGUGGACAGUGCCAGAAAUGGCAUCUCUCUUCGGAGCCGCUGCACAGGUGCUGCAUGGCUGUCGUCAGCUCGUGCCGUGAGGUGUUGGGUUAAGUCCCGCAACGAGCGCAACCCUUAUCGUUAGUUGCCAACACUUAGGGUGGGAACUCUAACGAGACUGCCUGGGUUAACCAGGAGGAAGGUGAGGAUGACGUCAAGUCCGCAUGGCCCUUAUGUCUGGGGCUACACACGUGCUACAAUGGUCGGUACAGAAGGCAGCGAAACCGCGAGGUGAAGCAAAUCCAAGAAAGCCGAUCUCAGUUCAGAUUGUAGUCUGCAACUCGACUACAUGAAGACGGAAUUGCUAGUAAUGGCAGGUCAGCAACACUGCCGUGAAUACGUUCCGGGCUUGUACACACCGCUCGUC
rnacentral:rRNA from 1 species